rnacentral:rRNA from 1 species
AACGCGAAGAACCUUACCUGGUCUUGACAUCCACGGAAGUUUUCAGAGAUGAGAAUGUGCCUUCGGGAACCGUGAGACAGGUGCUGCAUGGCUGUCGUCAGCUCGUGUUGUGAAAUGUUGGGUUAAGUCCCGCAACGAGCGCAACCCUUAUCCUUUGUUGCCAGCGGUCCGGCCGGGAACUCAAAGGAGACUGCCAGUGAUAAACUGGAGGAAGGUGGGGAUGACGUCAAGUCAUCAUGGCCCUUACGACCAGGGCUACACACGUGCUGCAAUGGCGCAUACAAAGAGAAGCGACCUCGCGAGAGCAAGCGGACCUCAUAAAGUGCGUCGUAGCCCGGAUUGGAGUCUGCAACUCGACUCCAUGAAGUCGGAAUCGCUAGUAAUCGUGGAUCAGAAUGCCACGGUGAAUACGUUCCCGGGUCUUGUACACACCG